UGGGGAAUACUGCACAAUGGGCGAAAGCCUGAUGCAGCAACGCCGCGUGAGUGAUGAAGGCCUUCGGGUUGUAAAGCUCUGUCUUUUGGGACGAUAAUGACGGUACCAAAGGAGGAAGCCACGGCUAACUACGUGCCAGCAGCCGCGGUAAUACGUAGGUGGCAAGCGUUGUCCGGAUUUACUGGGCGUAAAGGAUGCGUAGGCGGAUUUUUAAGUGAGAUGUGAAAACCCUAAGCUUAACUUGGGGACUGCAUUUCAUACUGGAAAUCUAGAGUGCGGGAGAGGAGAAUGGAAUUCCUAGUGUAGCGGUGAAAUGCGUAGAGAUUAGGAAGAACACCAGUGGCGAAGGCGAUUCUCUGGACCGUAACUGACGCUGAGGCAUGAAAGCGUGGGUAGCAAACAGGAUUAGAUACCCUGGUAGUCCACGCCGUAAACGAUGAGUACUAGGUGUAGGAGGUAUCGACCCCUUCUGUGCCGCAGUUAACACAAUAAGUACUCCGCCUGGGAAGUACGAUCGCAAGAUUAAAACUCAAAUGAAUUGAC
rnacentral:rRNA from 1 species